ensembl:snRNA U6 U6 spliceosomal RNA
GUUCUUGCUGUGACAGCACAUAUAUUAACACUGAAACAAGACAGAGAAGAUUAGCCCGGCCCCUUGUGUAAGGGUGACAAGUGAGUGACGUAUUUUU